AAGUCCAGAAGAUCUCACCAUACUUUGUUCAAGCUAUUAUUGGAGUUAACUCUGUGCUGCAACAGCCAAGUGGAGAGUGAUUGUGCUGCAAUCAAAGACAUCAUUGUGAAGAGGCUUAGUUAACUAUCAGAAUUUUUGAAAAUUUUCUGAACCAGUUCUUGAAACACUGAGAUUUUGGAUGGGUGACCUUGUUUUCAUUUCUACUACAUUAUGAUGGGAAUCAAUUUAGAGAAAUCUGGAGCUAGAGAAGUUUUAUACUGUGCCAGUGUCCAGGUAAGAAUUUGGAAAACAACAUUUGGAGUCAUUCACAGCUACGUUUGUGUCUGGCUCCACAAUUCCUACUUGUGUUGCUUUAAGGAAGAAGCUUUGACUACAACCACUGUCAGGAAUGUCACUAGAACUUAAAGCAAAGUCCAUCAUUCUCAUUGGAAAUAUUAUAUGACAAUGCUUUUUUUUUUAAUUUUAAGGUACUAAUUAUACUAAUGAUGUGUAUAUUGAUAUAAAUCAACAAAAUCAUGCCAGAUCUAUGAAUCAUUUUUCAGAACCGUUGCUAACACUUCAAUAUUCUCUGAGAAAAGCAGCCCUAAGUCAUAAUAGUGCAAGCCUAUAAUGGAAAAAUCACAUAUGAGGUUAUAGCAAUUUAAUCACUUCAGGCUUGCAAAUUUAGUUUUAUGUAGAAAAUAUAUUAAUGUUUUCAGAAUAUUAAGAUGACAAAAUAAAAUAAACUUUUGUUGGAUUCA
rnacentral:lncRNA from 1 species